GCUCUCUUUUCUUCCCUGCUAAAUCUACAUGAACUUUUCUUUUCUUAUCUUUUUCAGAAAUCUUUUCUUCUCUACUAGAUAUAUUGAACGACUGUUGGAAGAUGCACAGCGUUGCUUCUUUCCUCUACUUCUACAUGAACUUUUCUUAUCUUCUCCAACUUCUCAUAAAAUGAAUUCCUCUUCUCCUUUGUUUUAUCUUCCAUCAAUCUUUCAGAAUCUUGGUCUCUUCUAUCUUCUAAAUCUUGGUUGUUUCUUAUUUCUUGUUUCUUGGAUUGGUUUCUUGUUCUAAAGUCCUCUUUCUUUGUUAAGAAUCUCAUGAAUUCUUGUGUUGUUGUUGUUGAAUUUCUCUCCUGCUUAUCAGUUUUGAUUUCUGAUCCUCUAUUUUCAAUCUCCUUCUUUCUUGAAUUCCUAAUGGAAUCUUCCUCUCUUCAUUGUUGAGAAUGUAAUUAAUCCUCUUUCUUGAUUUUCCUUAGAGGAAUCCUAAUAAAUUCUAUCGCUUUUGGUGUUGAUGUCUUGUAAGAGGAAGAAAAUCUAAUAUGUCUUGAGUAUUUUUUGAUGAAAUUCUACUAAAACACUUAGUUGUUGCUGGUUACAUACAAAACAUGACCGGAUUAUGUUGAUUGAUGAAGUAAAUACAUGUUUUCAUAUGUGAAGUUGUACAUAUGUUUUCGAUCUAAAUUUGUUCACUACCAGCGAAUGAACUGCAGUUGAUUUUGUUCAUCUAGUGUGAGUAGAUUGAAUAAUUUCAUUCAGAUCUGGUUGGUGCUACUACAAGAAAGAAGUGUUAUGGUGAUAAUUGUUCGAAUUAUGUGUUUGUCCUCAUACGUAUACAACUGUGUUUAAAGACCUGUUGCAGAGUUCUUAUGGAUGCAGUUAUCUUUGUCAGCCGUAAAAAUGCAAGUGAAUUGCAAGAUUGUUGGAAUUUGAAGAUAUGUUUUGGCAAGGUUGGAGGGUGAAGACUCAGUUUUUCCUAUCUCUGCAAAUUUGGUUCAACUAUGAAGAUUCCUUUUAUCAACAUCAAGACCUGCUAUUGCCACAACUAUUGGAUUGUGUUUAUUUUACUUCUACAUCCAUUGCCAUUCAGAUAUGAUAACUACAGCCUUCUAUACACAGCAUACUUCUCUACAUAAGAACAUAGAUUUCAGAGGCUCCUUCACCUUCUUGUCAUCUACACAACCUACAAAGUUCAAGCUUAUGCAGUGGAUCUUUAGCUUCAUUGUCAUCUACACAGCCUACUACUAUUCGCUGCCUCUAUUGCCAGUAUCUCUGCACCAACUAUUACUGCUACUGCCACAUUUUGUAAGUGUGUGAUUAAGUGUUUGUCCAAUCUCAGGUGAGCUUUUCAAGCUCCCUUGAGCUUGAGGGGGGAUAAUAGCAUGUAAGUGUGUGAUUGAGUGUUUGAGAGAGUAGUGCAGAAUAUCUUCACACAGAUAUGAAUAUGUUGCCAGCCUGUAAGAGAGGUAGAAAAGAAUGAGUGUGUAUAUAAACUCAUCUUGUGUAUGUGUCUGUAACUGAAGGAAAUAAUCUGAAUUCAAUCAAUAACGAAACCAUCUUUCAGAAUGUA